GGGGCGGGGCGUCAGCUCCCGCGCCGCCAUCUUGCUCCAGGGAAAAGCGGAGGGAGGGGAACACGCUUCAACCUUUACGAGCAACUCCUCCCCAGCUGAAGUCAACAGUCGCCAUUUUGACAAAGGGCAAGGCUGGUGAGGCGCGCACCGCCAUGCUGGAACUGGCCUUGAGCGGCGAGUGAAGCUAUCGUGGAGCCAUCUUGGGCGUGGGAAAGCCCAUGGCUGCCCUCGCCAGCGCCUCGGAGCCAGUUUCCUGGUUUUGCCCCGCUCUCAGGCUGCCACCAAAUCCUUUGAAGAGUCGGCACAAGUCGGCGCUUUGAAGGAGCACAUUCCAGCGCGCUGUGAGAAGGACCUUUGAUCGCCGCGGGGGAAGCGGCAGGGAGCGGCCCUGGGCCCGCGCCAGUCCCGCAGGGGCGCGGCCCCCCUGCCCUUCCCAGGGAAUCCCGGUUGGCCUCAGCUGCGUCAACACGACCCCAGAGAGGGAUUCUGAACGUGGAGUUUAACAUAUAAGGGGCUGAAGGAGCCUUUCUGUUCUACGCCUUCAGGGGUGCGCUGUGGGGCAUCCGCAACAAAGCGUGAGCAGCUGAGGUGGUGCCACACGCCCAAAGUUUCCGUGGGGAUAGGCAGAGUGGUCCUUCAGACUCCAGCGUACAAGCAUUCGGCUCAGAAGAAAAGUAUUCAGGAGGUCGACAAUCAGCUUGAUUGUCCUAUAAAAUUCAUAAUGGGGAGCUCUCAGUGUGCUGAGAGGAGAUGCUUCAUGUGUCCAAAGGAGGAAGGAAGCACCACAAGAUGCCGUUGCUGAUGUCCUGUGGACAUCGUGUAAGAGCUGUGGAAAAGCCCAGGUUUUGCAUGUUUCUAGCCAUAAAGAAUGCUGUUACUCGAGCCUCUGCGGCUCUUGUCAUUUGGGGAUCUAAUGUCUCAGUGAUGACAUUACCUGGCUGACGUUUCCUGUUUAUUUCUUUUUAAAUAACAAUACCAAGCACUCACAAAACAUUUUGUGCUUUGCAGCAAUAUCAAGCAUUAACUAAUGAACCUGCUCACACCCAAAUGAGCUAUACGAUAUCAUUAUUACAUGUAGAAGGACAGUGACUCCUCAGGGCUACAGUGAGUCAGUGGCAGAGGUAGAAUUGUGCUCAUGGUCCUACUUAACAUUCAUUCCAGCAGACUGUACAGCUUUGCACACCUGGAAGGUUUGCAAAAGCAUCAUAAAUUAUUAGUUGGUUAAUUUUGAUAGUUUCUUAAAUAAAUGCAUCAAUUUAUUCCACACAGAAAGCUUCAGCUAUGAAAUUCAGUCUCUUAAUCACUCAUAGGAGCUUAAAAGUGUCAGUUUUCAAAACUCAUGUUUGCAUCCUAUGAUGUGGUGAGUGCCUCCCCUUUUCAGGUGAUACAGAAAAACAUUCUCAGAAUCUGUUUUGAUGGAAAUAAAAGGAUGUUUUGGUGUGA